GACGAACGCUGGCGGCGUGCCUAAUACAUGCAAGUAGAACGCACAGUUUAUACCGUAGCUUGCUACACCAUAGACUGUGAGUUGCGAACGGGUGAGUAACGCGUAGGUAACCUGCCUGGUAGCGGGGGAUAACUAUUGGAAACGAUAGCUAAUACCGCAUAAUAUUGAUUAUUGCAUGAUAAUUGAUUGAAAGAUGCUAUUGCAUCACUACCAGAUGGACCUGCGUUGUAUUAGCUAGUAGGUGAGGUAACGGCUCACCUAGGCGACGAUACAUAGCCGACCUGGUAGGGUGAGCGGCCACACUGGGACUGAGACACGGCCCAGACUCCUACGGGAGGCAGCAGUAGGGAAUCUUCGGCAAUGGACGAAAGUCUGACCGAGCAACGCCGCGUGAGUGAAGAAGGUUUUCGGAUCGUAAAGCUCUGUUGUAAGAGAAGAACGGGUGUGAGAGUGGAAAGUUCACACUGUGACGGUAUCUUACCAGAAAGGGACGGCUAACUACGUG
rnacentral:rRNA from 1 species